rnacentral:rRNA from 1 species
AGAGUUUGAUCCUGGCUCAGAACGAACGCUGGCGGCAUGCCUAACACAUGCAAGUCGAACGCUUACCGGGCUUCGGUUCGGUGGGAGUGGCGCACGGGUGAGUAGCGCGUGGGAACCUGCCCUGUUGUGGGGGAUAACCGAGGGAAACUUCGGCUAAUACCGCAUGCGCCCGGAGUGAUCCGGGGAAAGAUUUAUCGCAGCAGGAGGGGCCCGCGUCGGAUUAGCUAGUUGGUGGGGUAACGGCCCACCAAGGCGAUGAUCCGUAGCUGGUCUGAGAGGAUGAUCAGCCACACUGGGACUGAGACACGGCCCAGACUCCUACGGGAGGCAGCAGUGGGGAAUAUUGGACAAUGGGCGCAAGCCUGAUCCAGCAAUGCCGCGUGAGUGAUGAAGGCCUUAGGGUUGUAAAGCUCUUUCGCCCGCGACGAUGAUGACGGUAGCGGGAGAAGAAGCCCCGGCUAACUUCGUGCCAGCAGCCGCGGUAAUACGAAGGGGGCGAGCGUUGUUCGGAUUUACUGGGCGUAAAGGGCGCGUAGGCGGCCGAUCAAGUCAGGCGUGAAAGCCCCGGGCUCAACCUGGGAAUGGCGCUUGGGACUGGUUGGCUUGAGUUCGGGAGAGGAGAGUGGAAUUCCCAGUGUAGAGGUGAAAUUCGUAGAUAUUGGGAAGAACACCGGUGGCGAAGGCGGCUCUCUGGACCGAGACUGACGCUGAGGCGCGAAAGCGUGGGGAGCAAACAGGAUUAGAUACCCUAGUAGUCC